CGUAUCCAAAGAUCACGCCUGGAUCAAGUGUGGGGCUGGUGAUUAAUCUCACGUCGCCACCACCUGGAGCCCAGGUGUCAUAGAUGCCGCCAAAGAAGCAGGCCUUGAGGAUCAGAGCAAGAGCUCCCCAGCCUAGAAAAAUCAGGUUGUAACCAAGAAUGUUGGUCAUCUGAUUUUUGUCUUUCCA
rnacentral:antisense_RNA from 1 species